ACUCCUACGGGAGGCAGCAGUGGGGAAUAUUGCACAAUGGGCGCAAGCCUGAUGCAGCCAUGCCGCGUGUAUGAAGAAGGCCUUCGGGUUGUAAAGUACUUUCAGCAGUGAGGAAGGUGGGUAUGUUAAUAGCAUACUCAUUUGACGUUAGCUGCAGAAGAAGCACCGGCUAACUCCGUGCCAGCAGCCGCGGUAAUACGGAGGGUGCGAGCGUUAAUCGGAAUUACUGGGCGUAAAGCGCAUGCAGGUGGUUUGUUAAGUCAGAUGUGAAAGCCCGGGGCUCAACCUCGGAAUUGCAUUUGAAACUGGCAAACUAGAGUACUGUAGAGGGGGGUAGAAUUUCAGGUGUAGCGGUGAAAUGCGUAGAGAUCUGAAGGAUACCGGUGGCGAAGGCGGCCCCCUGGACAGAUACUGACACUCAGAUGCGAAAGCGUGGGGAGCAAACAGGAUUAGAUACCCUGGUAGGCAUAG
rnacentral:rRNA from 1 species